AUGAAGGGGAGCGUGGUGUGCACAAUUGCUGUUUUCUUCAUUGGGUGCCUUCUUAUGUUUGGAGUACAAUGUCGACGUGAGCCCGAGAGCACCUACAAAGAUGACCACGCCAACACGACUACGCUGGUCUCGCCAGUUGACGAGAGCAAACUUACCUUGAUAUGGUGUCUCAAUAGAGAUUGUAAGGACAAAGGUGAAAACUUUGGUAGCUGGACAAGGGAUUGCAUAUGCUGCGUCACUCUACCAGACGUACCGUGUUAUGAUUCCGAUGAAGAGUGUCACAGGAAUUGCCCAAGUAUGACGACGCAGCCCAUACUUGCAUACACGGGUGGGCAUUAA
rnacentral:rRNA from 1 species